UCGAGCGGUAACAGAUCCAGCUUGCUGGAUGCUGACGAGCGGCGCACGGGUGAGUAAUGCAUAGGAAUCUGCCCGAUAGUGGGGGAUAACCUGGGGAAACCCAGGCUAAUACCGCAUACGUCCUACGGGAGAAAGGGGGCUCCGGCUCCCGCUAUCGGAUGAGCCUAUGUCUGGAUUUUUUUUUUGGUGAGGUAACUGGCUCACCAAGGCCACUGAUCCGUAGCUUGGUCUGAGAGGAUGAUCAGCCACAUCGGGACUGAGACACGGCCCGAACUCCUACGGGAGGCAGCAGUGGGGAAUAUUGGACAAUGGGGGCAACCCUGAUCCAGCCAUGCCGCGUGUGUGAAGAAGGCCCUCGGGUUGUAAAGCACUUUCAGCGAGAGAAGAACGCCUAGCGGUUAAUACCCAUUAGGAAAGACAUCACUCGCAGAAGAAAGCACCGGCUAACUCCGUGCCAGCAGCCGCGGUAAUACGGAGGGUGCAAGCGUUAAUCGGAAUUACUGGGCGUAAAGCGCGCCGUAGGUGCUUGAUAAGCCCGGUUGUGAAAGCCCCGGCUCAACCUGGGAACUGCAUCCUGGAACUGCAAGCCUCGAGUGCACGAGAGGAA
rnacentral:rRNA from 1 species